rnacentral:tRNA from 1 species
CAAGUUAUCUUUAGAUGAGUAUUUCUUUUACAUGGAAGUUGUUGUUGUGCAAUUCAAUAUGGCUUGA